GGCCACGUGAGUUACAGAUGAAGGGACAAAACAUCCCUUAAGAACAGAUGUGCAAGGAGAACUCACUUUUGGCACCAAUUGCUUCUGCAGGAAAGGCAAGGCCAAAUAAGACUUCGGGACAUGUGCCAUUUCACAAUGGAUUGGAGGAGGUAUGUGACCAGGAGGAGGAGAAGGAGUCACAGAAGGAGCUGGAUUUGCCAGUCUUGGAGAAUGAGCCCUCACCAGGUGCCUUUUCUCCAAAGCGAAGAGUCCCAGCCUUUCUUAUCUCCUCCUGUAAGGCUGCAGAUCCAUCUGCCUGUGCCUCCCCAGCUCCACCGGGUCCUCUGCUGAUUUGGAUACAUGAGAGCUUUCAGUCACUCUCGAGAUGGAAUCGUGCUGCUUUUUUAAGUCCUGCAGAGCCAUUCAACUCAUAUGGCAAAGUUACACUGUGUGAAUUACAGCUGUGACACAGACCUAGUUAACACAGUUUGGAGACAAAGAAUUAUCUUUAGUUCAUUAAAACCAAUCAUUC
rnacentral:lncRNA from 7 species